rnacentral:rRNA from 1 species
UACGAAGGGGGGCUAGCGUUGUUCGGAAUUACUGGGCGUAAAGCGCGCGCAGGCGGUUCUUUUAAGUCAGGGGUGAAAGCCCAGAGCUCAACUCUGGAAUUGCCUUUGAAACUAGAGAACUUGGGUACGGGAGAGGUGAGUGGAAUUCCGAGUGUAGAGGUGAAAUUCGUAGAUAUUCGGAAGAACACCAGUGGCGAAGGCAGCAACUUGGUCUGGUAUCGACGCUCAGGCACGAAAGCAUGGGGAUCAAACAGG